UCGUCGUGUCAUGGGAAGUUCAAUCUCCAAAGCAUCAUAAUAAAUUAAAAAAAAAAACACUUGGUUCAACUUGGAAAACCUAAAUCAUCAAUUUAUCUUUUGGAAGAUUAACUUGAAAUUAAGAGGAAAAAUCGACGAGAUUUAGUUUCAGCGGGUUUCAUCAUUGAAGGCGAUUUGAAAGAUAGUUGUUGCGAGAAUUUGAGUUAAAUUAUUGUAGAAGGAAUCGAGGUGUUUGAGAAGGAAAUUGUUGGAAUCAAACAAAAUAAUUGUUGACCAAAGGGACGGCUGAAAGUUAGGGACUUUGGAUGGUCAGACAUACAAUGUGUGGGACAUUGGAUUACUUAGCACCAAAG